UACGUAGGGUGCAAGCGUUAAUCGGAAUUACUGGGCGUAAAGCGUGCGCAGGCGGUUUUGUAUGUCAGCUGUGAAAUCCCCGGGCUUAACCUGGGAACUGCAUUUGUGACUGCAAGGCUGGAGUGCGGCAGAGGGGGAUGGAAUUCCGCGUGUAGCAGUGAAAUGCGUAGAUAUGCGGAGGAACACCGAUGGCGAAGGCAAUCCCCUGGGCCAGCACUGACGCUCAUGCACGAAAGCGUGGGGAGCAAACAGG
rnacentral:rRNA from 1 species